UCUCUCUCUUCAAUCACUCUUUCAGUUUCUCCCAAACACUCAUCAUUCCGCCUGUGAUGAUCCCCCUGUGAUCUCUUUCUUCAAUUUCUCUUAAUCCCCCUGUGAUCUGAUUAAAUCGCUCAUCAUUCUUUCUCAAUGACUCUCAUAAAUUCUUGAUGAGAAGCUUUGGCACAAGCUUUGGCCCGACGUUCUUUCUCCUCCAAUCAAAUCUCUCACGAAGUCUCUCCUAUAGAAAAAUGUACUCUUUCUUCCCCUGUGUUGAUCCUUCAGACACCUUCUUGACCAACAUGUGGUUUCAACAUGGAAGCUGAAAUCAGAUCCUGGAAUUUAGACAUUUUCUGCUUCAGAUUUUGAUUCUGUAUAUGGUUUGUAUCUGAGCUUUUCAGAUGUUCAUUGGUAGUCCAGGAUCUUUGUAUAUUUUAAUCGAGAUGUAAACACAUGGGCCUGAUAAUAUUUCAGGUUUUGAAUGUUUAAUUCAUGCCAAGAACUUGAUAUAACCGUGAUAAUUAAGAU